GAAAUGCGAUAAGUAAUGUGAAUUGCAGAAUUCAGUGAAUCAUCGAAUCUUUGAACGCACCUUGCGCUCCUUGGUAUUCCUUGGAGCAUGCCUGUUUGAGUAUCAUGAAAUCUUCAAAGUAAAUCUUUUGUUAACUCAAUUGGUUUCUACUUUGGUAUUGGAGGUCUUUGCAGCUUCACACCUGCUCCUCUUUGUUCAUUAGCUGGAUCUCAGUGUUAUGCUUGGUUCCACUCGGCGUGAUAAGUUAUCUAUCGCUGAGGACACUGUAAAAGGUGGCCAAGGUAAAUGCAGAUGAACCGCUUCUAAUAGUCCAUUGACUUGGACAAUACUUUUAUGAUCUGAUCGCAAAUCAGGUAGGACUACCCGCUGAACUUAAGCAUAUCAAUAAGCGGAGGACUGUCUCUUAUACCACAUCUCCGAAGCCCCACGAGACGC
rnacentral:misc_RNA from 1 species